GAUGAACGCUAGCUACAGGCUUAACACAUGCAAGUCGAGGGACCGGCGCACGGGUGAGUAACACGUAUCCAACCUGCCCUUUACUCGGGGAUAGCCUUUCGAAAGAAAGAUUAAUACCCGAUGUAAAGGAUGGGGAUGCGUUCCAUUAGGUUGUUGGUGAGGUAACGCCUCACCAAGCCUUCGAUGGAUAGGGGUUCUGAGAGGAAGUUCCCCCACAUUGGAACUGCGACCCGGUCCAAUCUCCUACGCGAGGCAGCAGUGAGGAACAUUGUUCACUGGGCGUUGGCCUGGACCAGCCAAGUAGCGUGAAGAAUGCUUGCUUAUGAGUCGUAUACUUCUUUUAUAUAAGAAUAUGUAUUAUAUGAAUAAGGAUCGGCUAACUCCGUGCCAGCAGCCGCGGUAAUUC
rnacentral:rRNA from 1 species